AAGAUGUCCGCCAUAACAGUAGGAUGUCUGGAUGCCUAUAAAACUUCUGUCGAUGUUACCUGUGAUUCUGUGGACAGCAGUAUAAAGGCGAUGUACGCCUUAAUGGCCAAGUGUGAAGAGCUGAAUAACAACAUGGGACCAGUAUACCGACUAGGGGACCAGAUUAAGGAAAUCAAGAGACUGCUGGACAGGUUUGAGUCCCAGCUAACUGACAACACAUCCUGACCAAGCUACCCACCCAAGGAACCAACUGGGGCACAACUCAUGUGUCAAACUGCACAGGACUCUAAUCCGUUUGCUGAAGUGUCCUGUGGUGGAUUCAGACAGUAAACAGCCCACCUGAUAUGUGCAAUAUAUUUACAUUUAUUCCAUAAUGACAACAUCAUAAUUUUUCAUUUUUCAUUUGUCUUAUUUCUAACUUG